UGGGUUAUUAACUCAGAUAGGUUAGAGUAUACCCUUGAUAAGGGUAAUGCCCCAAGUUCAAUUCUUGGAUAACCUAA
rnacentral:tRNA from 1 species